CAAGUGAUCGAUUGAGCCAGUCUAUUAUGAUUAAAUAAUAGAUUAGACAGCUUGCUCUUAUGAGUUAGUGGCGCACGGGUGAGUAAUGUAUAGCUAAUCUGCCCUACACUAGAGGACAACAGUUGGAAACGACUGCUAAUACUCUAUACUCCUCUCUAGCAUAAGUUAGAUAGGGAAAGUUUUUCGGUGUAGGAUGAGGCUAUAUUGUAUCAGCUAGUUGGUGAGGUAAUGGCUCACCAAGGCUAUGACGCAUAACUGGUCUGAGAGGAUGAUCAGUCACACUGGAACUGAGACACGGUCCAGACUCCUACGGGAGGCAGCAGUAGGGAAUAUUGCUCAAUGGGGGAAACCCUGAAGCAGCAACGCCGCGUGGAGGAUGACACUUUUCGGAGCGUAAACUCCUUUUGUUAGGGAAGAACAAUGACGGUACCUAACGAAUAAGCACCGGCUAACUCCGUGCCAGCAGCCGCGGUAAUACGGAGGGUGCAAGCGUUACUCGGAAUCACUGGGCGUAAAGGACGCGUAGGCGGAUUAUCAAGUCUCUUGUGAAAUCUUCGAAGAUACGCGAAGAACCUUACCCGGACUUGAUAUCUAACAAAUCAUCUAGAGAUAGAAGAGUGUCUGCUUGCAGAAAUGUUAAGACAGGUGCUGCACGGCUGUCGUCAGCUCGUGUCGUGAGAUGUUGGGUUAAGUCCCGCAACGAGCGCAACCCACGUCAUUAGUUGCUAACAGUUCGGCUGAGCACUCUAAUGAGACUGCCUUCGUAAGGAGGAGGAAGGUGUGGACGACGUCAAGUCAUCAUGGCCCUUAUGUCCGGGGCGACACACGUGCUACAAUGGCAUAUACAAUGAGAAGCAAUAUCGCGAGAUGGAGCAAAUCUAUAAAAUAUGUCCCAGUUCGGAUUGGAGUCUGCAACUCGACUCCAUGAAGCCGGAAUCGCUAGUAAUCGUAGAUCAGCCAUGCUACGGUGAAUACGUUCCCGGGUCUUGUACUCACCGCCCGUCACACCAUGGGAGUUGAUUUCACUCGAAGCCGGAAUACUAAAUUAGUUACCGUCCACAGUGGAAUCAGCGACUGGGGUGAAGUCGUAACAAGGUAACCGUAGGAGAACCUGCGGUUG
rnacentral:rRNA from 1 species